GACGAACGCUGGCGGCGUGCUUAACACAUGCAAGUCGAACGGAAAGGCCCUGCUUUUGUGGGGUUCCCGAGUGGCGAACGGGUGAGAAACAUGUGAGUAACCUGCCCUUGACUGUGGGAUAACUUCAGGAAACUGGUGCUAAUACCUGAUAGCAGCUCGUGCUGCAUGGUGGGGUUUGGAAAUUUUCGGUGGUUGUGGAUGUACUCGCGGCUUAUCAGCUGGUUGGUGGGGUAGUUGCUUACCAAGGCUUUGACGGGUAGUCUGCCUGGGAGGGUGACCGGCCACAUGAGGCCUGAGGGACGGAGCAGACUCCUACGGGAGGCAGCAGGCGGGAAUAUUGCACAGUGGGGGGACGCGUGAUGCAGAAACCCCGCGUGCGGGAUGCCGGCCUUCGGGUUGUAAAGCGCUUUAAGCUGUGACCAAGCGGGAGUGACGUUAAUAGGUAAAGAAGCACCGGCUAACUACGUG
rnacentral:rRNA from 1 species